rnacentral:rRNA from 1 species
GACGAACGCUUUCGGCGUGCUUAACACAUGCAAGUCGAACGGAAAGGCCCUGCUUUUGUGGGGUGCUCGAGUGGCGAACGGGUGAGUAACACGUGAGUAACCUGCCCUUGACUUUGGGAUAACUUCAGGAAACUGGGGCUAAUACCGGAUAGGAGCUCCUGCUGCAUGGUGGGGGUUGGAAAGUUUCGGCGGUUGGGGAUGGACUCGCGGCUUAUCAGCUUGUUGGUGGGGUAGUGGCUUACCAAGGCUUUGACGGGUAGCCGGCCUGAGAGGGUGACCGGCCACAUUGGGACUGAGAUACGGCCCAGACUCCUACGGGAGGCAGCAGUGGGGAAUAUUGCACAAUGGGCGGAAGCCUGAUGCAGCAACGCCGCGUGCGGGAUGACGGCCUUCGGGUUGUAAACCGCUUUCGCCUGUGACGAAGCGUGAGUGACGGUAAUGGGUAAAGAAGCACCGGCUAACUACGUGCCAGCAGCCGCGGUGAUACGUAGGGUGCGAGCGUUGUCCGGAUUUAUUGGGCGUAAAGGGCUCGUAGGUGGUUGAUCGCGUCGGAAGUGUAAUCUUGGGGCUUAACCCUGAGCGUGCUUUCGAUACGGGUUGACUUGAGGAAGGUAGGGGAGAAUGGAAUUCCUGGUGGAGCGGUGGAAUGCGCAGAUAUCAGGGGGAACACCAGUGGCGAAGGCGGUUCUCUGGGCCUUUCCUGACGCUGAGGAGCGAAAGCGUGGGGAGCGAACAGGCUUAGAUACCCUGGUAGUCCACGCUGUAAACGGUGGGUACUAGGUGUGGGGUCCAUUCCACGGGUUCCGUGCCGUAGCUAACGCUUUAAGUACCCCGCCUGGGGAGUACGGCCGCAAGGCUAAAACUCAAAGGAAUUGACGGGGCCCCGCACAAGCGGCGGAGCAUGCGGAUUAAUUCGAUGCAACGCGUAGAACCUUACCUGGGUUUGACAUGGAUCGGGAGUGCUCAGAGAUGGGUGUGCCUCUUUUGGGGUCGGUUCACAGGUGGUGCAUGCCUGUCGUCAGCUCGUGUCGUGAGAUGUUGGGUUAAGUCCCGCAACGAGCGCAACCCUUGUUCACUGUUGCCAGCACGUUAUGGUGGGGACUCAGUGGAGACCGCCGGGGUCAACUCGGAGGAAGGUGGGGAUGACGUCAAGUCCUCAUGCCCCUUAUGUCCAGGGCUUCACGCAUGCUACAAUGGCUGGUACAGAGAGUGGCGAGCCUGUGAGGGUGAGCGAAUCUCGGAAAGCCGGUCUCAGUUCGGAUUGGGGUCUGCAACUCGACCUCAUGAAGUCGGAGUCGCUAGUAAUCGCAGAUCAGCAACGCUGCGGUGAAUACGUUCCCGGG